UAUUUGUACCUGGAAUUUGUCAUUCGGCAUCAGUAGAACACGCCUGACUCUCCUCCACCGGUCAUACAAGGAGAAUGGUCUAAUGCCUCCCAUCAAAAAGAGAGCUGGCCCAAGCAAGCACAGGUUACACCUGAAGGAUGAGGACUUGCAGCGAGUGGUGAACUUCAUCAACAACUACGCAGAGGAUAAUGCAAUAGUAUUACCAGGACGCCACCCACACAAACACUUAGGUGGAAAGCUGCUGCCACCCCAUGUGACAAAAGCAGCAGUGUGGCAUCUGUACAAGGAAUCAAUGACAACACUUGAGGUACGUGUAGUCGGGCUGCCUUCCUUCAGGAUUCUGUGGAGAAAAUUGCUGCCCCACAUCUCAAGCACUGCCCCACAUCUCAAGCCCAGUUGUCUCUGGGGGCCCGUACUGAACCAGCAAGAAAAGACAUUAGGAUGCAUUACAGCUUUGAUUUUGCUCAACAAGUGCACUAACCUGCAGCCAGGUCCCAUCGACUUCUUAACUCCUCGCAAGUGUGGCUUGUUUGGUGUCUGCUGUGAAGGAAUACCACAACAAGUCAACUACUUGAUUGAUGAAGGCAUGUUGUCCAGCAAAGUGAAGGACAGCACUCUGACACGGGUCAACAUCCCACAGCUGGUUGGACUGGAAGAUGGUACGGUGCUGGUGGAAAGCUAUGGCUGGCAACAACACCUGACUCUGUACUUCAGGCCGCUGCUACAGAUCAAACAGUACCAGCACUUCAGGUGAAUAUCAUUAUCAUUGCAUUGUAUGAGGUUAUUAUUUUUAUCUAAACUUGGGAGGUGAAUUGAUGUUGUACAAGGUUGUAAUGUCUUCUCAAUUUAUUUUGUUAUUUCCUGUUUUAUAGCUUCGAUGUUCUGGAGCCUGGUGUUGUCGCCAAGGAGCGUUCGGACUCAGUCAGGACCAGGUUUCAGCUGCUGUGCAAUGCUGACGUCCUUCCUCCCAUAGAUGGUCUGCCUGUAUAAGCACCACCUGGACUGGACACAGCUAGACAAACAUCUUUUUGAGAAGAUAAGG
rnacentral:lncRNA from 1 species